rnacentral:misc_RNA from 1 species
GAUGAAGAACGCAGCGAAAUGCGAUACGUAAUGUGAAUUGCAAAUUCAGUGAAUCAUCGAGUCUUUGAACGCACAUUGCGCCCCCUGGUAUUCCGGGGGGGAUGCCUGUCCGAGCGUCAUUGCUGCCCUCAAGCACGGCUUGUGUGUUGGGCCCCGUCCUCCGAUCCCGGGGGACGGGCCCGAAAGGCAGCGGCGGCACCGCGUCCGGUCCUCGAGCGUAUGGGGCUUUGUCACCCGCUCUGUAGGCCCGGCCGGCGCUUGCCGAUCAACCCAAAUUUUUAUCCAGGUUGACCUCGGAUCAGGUAGGGAUACCCGCUGAACUUAAGCAUAUCAAUAAGCGGAGGA